rnacentral:rRNA from 1 species
UACGUAGGGUGCAAGCGUUGUCCGGAAUUAUUGGGCGUAAAGAGCUCGUAGGCGGUCUGUCGCGUCGGCUGUGAAAUCCCCGAGGCUCAACCUCGGGUCUGCAGUCGAUACGAGCAAACUAGAGUGUUGCAGGGGAGACUGGAAUUCCUGGUGUAGCGGUGAAAAUGCGCAGAUAUCAGGAGGAACACCGGUGGCGAAGGCGGGGUCUCUGGGCAGUAACUGACGCUGAGGAGCGAAAAGCGUGGGGGAGCGAACAGG